rnacentral:rRNA from 1 species
UACGAGGGGGGCGAGCGUUGUUCGGAAUUAUUGGGCGUAAAGGGUGCGUAGGCGGUUCGGUAAGUUUCGUGUGAAAUCUUCGGGCUCAACUCGAAGUCUGCACGAGAUACUGUCGGGCUUGAGUGUGGGAGAGGUGAGUGGAAUUUCCGGUGUAGCGGUGAAAUGCGUAGAUAUCGGAAGGAACACCUGUGGCGAAAGCGGCUCACUGGACCACAACUGACGCUGAGGCACGAAAGCUAGGGGAGCAAACAGG